UACAGAGGCCACGAGCGUUAGGCGGAAUCACUGGGCUUAAAGCGUGUGUAGGUGGAUGACUAAGCACCUUGUGAAAUCCCACGGCUCAACCGUGGAACUGCUUGGUAUACUGGUUGUCUUGAGGCACUCAGGGGCGAGCGGAACAGAUGGUGGAGCGGUGAAAUGCGUAGAUAUCAUCUGGAACGCCAAUGGUGAAGACAGCUCGCUGGGGGUGUACUGACACUGAGACACGAAAGCCAGGGGAGCAAACAGG
rnacentral:rRNA from 1 species